UACGUAGGGCGCAAGCGUUGUCCGGAAUUAUUGGGCGUAAAGAGCUCGUAGGCGGUUUGUCGCGUCUGCUGUGAAAACCUAAGGCUCAACCUUGGGCUUGCAGUGGGUACGGGCAGACUAGAGUGCGGUAGGGGUGACUGGAAUUCUCGGUGUAGCGGUGAAAUGCGUAGAUAUCGAGAGGAACACCUGCGGCGAAGGCGGGUUGCUGGGCUGACACUGACGCUGAUGCGCGAAAGCUAGGGGAGCGAACGGG
rnacentral:rRNA from 1 species